GACGGGGGGGGCAAGUGUUCUUCGGAAUGACUGGGCGUAAAGGGCGCGUAGGCGGCGAUCACAGUCAGAUGUGAAAUUCCUGGGCUUAACCUGGGGGCUGCAUUUGAUACGUGGUUGCUUGAGUGGGGAAGAGGGUCGUGGAAUUCCCAGUGUAGAGGUGAAAUUGGUAGAUAUUGGGAAGAACACCGGUGGCGAAGGCGGCGACCUGGUCCUUGACUGACGCUGAGGCGCGAAAGCGCGGGGAGCAAACAGG
rnacentral:rRNA from 1 species